rnacentral:rRNA from 1 species
GAUGAACGCUAGCUACAGGCUUAACACAUGCAAGUCGAGGGGAAACGAUAUUGGAAGCUUGCUUCCGAUAGGCGUCGACCGGCGCACGGGUGAGUAACGCGUAUCCAACCUGCCCAUCACUUGGGGAUAACCUUGCGAAAGUAAGACUAAUACCCAAUGACGUCUCUAGAAGACAUCUGAAAGAGAUUAAAGAUUUAUCGGUGAUGGAUGGGGAUGCGUCUGAUUAGCUUGUUGGCGGGGUAACAGCCCACCAAGGCGACGAUCAGUAGGGGUUCUGGGAGGAAGGUCCCCCACAUUGGAACUGAGACACGGUCCAAACUCCUACGGGAGGCAGCGGUGAGGAAUAUUGGUCAAUGGACGAGAGUCUGAACCAGCCAAGUAGCGUGCAGGAUGACGGCCCUAUGGGUUGUAAACUGCUUUUAUAAGGGAAUAAAGUGAGAGUCGUGACUCUUUUUGCAUGUACCUUAUGAAUAAGGACCGGCUAAUUCCGUGCCAGCCGCCGCCGUAA